rnacentral:rRNA from 1 species
CUACGUGCCAGCAGCCGCGGUAAUACGUAGGGCGCGAGCGUUGUCCGGAAUUAUUGGGCGUAAAGAGCUUGUAGGCGGUUUGUCGCGUCUGCUGUGAAAGGCCGGGGCUUAACUCCGUGUACUGCAGUGGGUACGGGCAGACUAGAGUGCAGUAGGGGAGACUGGAAUUCCUGGUGUAGCGGUGGAAUGCGCAGAUAUCAGGAGGAACACCGAUGGCGAAGGCAGGUCUCUGGGCUGUAACUGACGCUGAGAAGCGAAAGCAUGGGGAGCAAACAGGAUUAGAUACCCUGGUAGUCCACGCCGUAAACGAUGAGUGCUAGGUGUUAGACCCUUUCCGGGGUUUAGUGCCGCAGCUAACGCAUUAAGCACUCCGCCUGGGGAGUACGACCGCAAGGUUGAAACUCAAAGGAAUUGACGGGGGCCCGCACAAGCGGUGGAGCAUGUGGUUUAAUUYGAAGCAACGCGAAGAACCUUACCAGGUCUUGAC